AGGAAAGAGAAAGAAAAAGCACGUGUGUCACUAGGCAACGCUGCAAGAGUUAAUGGGAGACCUUGACAAAGGAGGGAAUAAGCAUGAGCAAAGCUGAGGCAAAAGAAUUAAUUAACUAAAGAAACAGAAUACAUAUUUACCUAGAAAAAUUAAUUACAUAAUCAACCAGAAGAUUAAUCAGAGGAAAACUAAUGCUCAGUAGAGCAUACUAGGGAGCCUUGUGGUUUUCAAUGUCAGUAACCCAGACAUCAGAACUGUACACCAAAGCAGACUUCCAGAAGUAAUUCUAGAUUUCAGGGUAGACAACAAGAAAGGUUUUCAGGGAAGCUGUUUCCAGCAGCCAUCAUCCUCAAUGUGCUUGCACCAGUUUGAUACAGUGACAAGUGAUAAACAUGGGACCAAUAAUACCACCUUAUUACUCCUGUUCUGGGACUCCAUUAUACACUUCAGAAACAACUUUGAUUCCUUAGUUAAUAGGUAUUACACUAUUUUGUUUUCUGAGGGUUGUUCACAGGAAAUUCUGUCCUAAGAUGCUGCUUACCCUUUCUGCCCUGUCAUAUAUGGCAAACUCAUCUUGAGGAGACCAGCCUUGAGGGCUUUUCCUCCAUUUGAAUGAAGCCAUAAGCAUGGUUCAGGUGAACCCAAAUGAACAGGGCAUCAACCCUGUUCACAAAUACAAAUUACGCUUCCUUAUCCCUCAGUUCUUCUUCUCAGAUCUUGUAACACUCCUGAAAUCAGGCAUGCAUGUGCCACAGCUCCACUCAUCUGACCUCCUUGAAGAUGUUUUCAGGAGAAUGGAAGGAGGUCCCAUUUUUUCUCAGAGAUUUUUGCCUGAUGUUAAGUCCCUUAGGAUUGUCCACAUACCCAAGAUAAUGCACUCUUCAUCCAAAAAGACGGUUCACAUUGAACUGGUACCUGAGGAGGACAGGAUCAAUACAACUACCAAAACAGCCUUCCUAGGAAACAUUUAGAUAGCUAUAAUUAUCAGCAGUAAAAAUCUUGUAGAGACUGAAGCAAGCUUUUCUUGCAUACACAACUGAUCUCUGUUGCCUAGGAUAAUCUGAUAAUUAAAAUAAAACCCCAAAAGUAUUAAUACAGUGUUAGCAGCCAAGUGAGAAUACAGUAGUAUUCAGAAACAUGCUGUGUGGGAUCCAGCUCACCUAACUACAGGUAACAUCUCCUGAACUAAGUAUGCUAGGAUUAAUUACUGCUGAGAAGAGAAAUAGACACUUCUAAAAUACAAACCCUUUCAUUGGAAAGAAGAUGUCUAAAAUAAUCAGAUUAAUUAACUAAGCUCCUCUAAAUGUGCACAUUUCUCUCCGCUGAUUGUAAAAGGAACAUUGGGUAUAAACUCAAAUGUUGAUGUCGAUGCUGUAAACAGCCAGUGACAGUGAAAUUAUUCUCUGCCUAUAAUUUCAAACCACAUGCCAGCCUUAAAAAAGGUGCAUUUAGAAAAGCAGCAUAAAAUACCUACAAAAGCAUAUUUGCUCUUCGACAGCCUUUGUGAUCAAAAGCUGAAACAAAGAGUCAAUGCAGUCUGCAAUUGCUGCUCUACUUCUCUUGCUGAAGACACUGCAACAAAACACAGGCAAAAUAUCCCCUUGAAAAAUGCUGAUUAUAGCCUGUUGGUCUGAAGCAGCAGACUCCCUACAGAAAUGCUGCUUUGCAAAAUCUAAUUUAUAGCUCCCAUAUCAUGCUCACAGUCUCCACUACAGCAGAAGAGAAACUCCAGAAAGCACCAUACCUUCAUUUUAUCAAAAGUAAUUGGUUUUGCAUAGAAGACCCAGAGCCUGCAAAUGUUUGCACAAUUUCAGCCAAACAAUACACAAGAACUAUACAAAGCUGCUUUGAGUAAAGACAAAAUUGCUUUCUGAAGAAUAUUUAGGUCUCUUUCAUCCUGCUGUCUCCAGACUACCAAAGGAAUCUGGGGCAAGUGCUGGUUUGUGGAUAGGGCAGAGGAUGCACAACUUCUGAAGAAGGCUGAGCAAUACCUGUGGGGCUGCCCUAUGCUGUCACACCAGAUGUGAUACCAGUUUCACAGGCAACUCAGGACAAGGCAGUGUCUUUCAUGAGUGCAAAUAGUUGAGAAUAAUAUAAAUAUAGCUACACUGUGCUGUCACCAACAAUACUUUUUGAUAUUAAACCCUUUCUUUGGCCUAUGGUCAGCUACUGUGUACCCACUGCAGUAAUACCUGCCAGCCUGGGCUUUUUGCUCUCACACUGAAGUUUUCAUAUGUCACAUCCACUAGCAGAAUGAUUUUAUGGUACUGAAAUGUGAUCAAGCAGGAAGGCCUAACAAUAAUACAUAUCAGCUUGUCCUUCCAGCCUUCGAUAUUAGGCAGGUUUUUUUACUACAACAAGUAUCUUGCCUUCAGUCUGUUAUCAGCCCUUUAAUAAGGAUCAGAAUAAAACCCAUUCAGGAGAUCUUUUCAUCUUACACUACCAUCUGAUUCUAAUAUGGAUGUGGAAAACUCUGGGACAGAAGCCAAAUGUUAAAUUUAAUACAAAGGACUGGUAUUUCAGUCCCAUUUUAUUUUCUGUGAUAGCUCAUUUUCAGCUCUGAUACAGAAACACUGAGGAAAAUUGGAGAUAAAUAUUACAUGACAGGCAAUGUUAUUUAGAGAUAUAGAGAAAUAUUUGGUGAGAUCUUUCAGUUAUGACAAAUGCAAAAUCACAAAAAGAUCUGGAUAUGUUCUAGGUUUAAUGCUACUCCUAAUUUAAUAAACAUAAUGGCAUUUGAGGUGAAAUAGAAAUGAGUUCUCUGUGCUCGUGCCCAAACUGCUUUGAAUAUGUUGCGAAAAUAAUAAAGAUACCUUUUUUAAGCUAUGUUUACUAAAAACUCUCAUUUAUAAUCUCCACUUGUCAGGGACUGCCUGAAGGAGGUAAUGAGAUUAGAACAAAAGUUUCAAUUAUGCAGAUCCAGCAGUUGCCUUUGAAAGGUACUUUUAGGAUACUGAGACUUCAUUUUUGAAAAAAAAAAAAAAAAAAAGGUCAAGUUUUUCUUGCUCUAGGUGGGUCCGAUGAGUAGGUGUAUGUGCUUCUGUCAGGCAUGUGCUUCUGUUUAGCAAAACCAGGACUGCACUGUUAAACAUGGGAAGACGUGGAAGAAGCAGGGCUUGGGGCACCACCAGAGGGUGUUGAGGGUUGCUCUGGAGAAGGCAAUUUGUGCUGCUGUCACCUCCAACGAGAGCACCAAGUGAAACACUCGGUCCAGCUGUGGGCAUGGUCUAGGCUGCGAGGUGCCAGGGCCACACGCUGCAGAGAUUUAGAGGCUGAAGUCUCGCUGCUCAUGCUGAAGCUGCUAAGAUCCUGAGGAAUGAGGAGCCAACAGCUCUGUGCUGGGGAGAGAGCCAGCCUGGUGCAGAGCUGCUCUCCUGCCACCAGCCAGCUGGUUCUUGGAACCAUAAAAAUCCCCUUCCACAGGGCUGGAGAUGGGAAGGACACUCUCUGCUCUGGUUGUGAAGAUGAAACUGACCCAGAGAAAGACCUGUGGCUCCUUUGAUUCAAAGCUGUAGCAUGAGGGAAUGUGCUUCUCCCCAUCACUGGUGAAGGAAGCUCAUCCACACUAAUAUUUAUCCUAGUUCCAGUUAAAAUACAGGAGAUGUUGACAGCUUCUGGCCUGUGUGUACAUCUGUACUUCCAGGCCACUGCACAAACCAAGAGUUACAAUGGUGCUGGUGAGUGUGGACAGGAAACAGAGCUGGAUAUAAAUAGUAUCACAGAUAUAGACCAGACAAAACAGAGUCACCCAAUAACAAAGAUACAAAAACCACAUGGGGCAAAGACAGACAGUCCCCAUUUUGCAUUUUCUUUUCUUCAGAACCUCUACACCUUUAAGUAGGAGACACCAAGAAGAUACUGGAAAAAUCAGGGGGGCAGAAAACAAACUCACCUCAGCUGUGUCCCACUUGGCCCAAAUGGGAGGAUGUAAGAUAAAGCCCACACAGGAGACAGCAGCCAAAAGGGCUGAGGCUUUUCUGGGUGAUCUGCGAAGUACCCAGUUGAUUCCUCAGAACCACUGGGGCCCAAAGUGCCUUACAGUUUUAUCUAAAGGACCCUUCUCCAUGUACAUGUGACUUCUUUGCGCAUGACCAAAAGCAUUUGUUGGAGUUUCAGAGAGACUUCUCCCCUACGAAGUCAAUAAAUUUUGACACAAACCCAACUUUUUGGUUUCUGCUCCCUGCUGUGUAAAAGGGACUCGGAUGGAAAUUGCACCUGAAUCCAAAGUAUCAGUCAGUUGCUGCCUAAUCCUACAAGAACAAUGCCACAGGCAGUUCAGGAGACAAUUGAAGUGUCGGGGAUAUAUUAUGGACCAUCUUUUAUCUAAUAACUAAUAAAUCUGUCUGUUGGGAAAGGUAUUUCUGCAGACCAGUCUCUGCUUCCAGCACUUUCUCUGUAUUUAAUCCACCUAAAGGACCAUGUGCAUACUUGUUGGAUAAGACAGAAGGAGCCUUGGAAGAGGAAAGGGGAAUCCAGCUAUCUCUGAGCUGCACAUUCUAAUGCUGAGGUGCACAGACAUACUCCAUUUCUCCUGGUAAAUCAUUACAGAAGAAAGAUAAAGAUUUCCCCGGGAAGGAUCAAGAAUGCUUCCUAGCCUCCAGUACAGCACCUGCUUGAGAGAAAACUCUCCUGGGAAUCAAGCAGUACACUGAAAUGAAGCAUGCAAGAGCCCUUGGCAGGAACAAAAUGCUAGAAAAGUGCUCUAAUUUUUAUAUAAUCACAUCAGAAACAUGUCAGAGAGAGUGUGGUCUUCAGACCCUGCAUAACUGGAAUGGGACUGUAAAGAGGAGUAAGUGCUUGGGCGUGCAUCUGGCCUCAGCAUCUCCGCCGCUAGGUGUAUGGAGUCCUUCGUGAUCUGGACUCAAGACGCUAACUGUUCUUCACUUAACCCUCUUAUCAGAUCCUCGACAUGAUUUUUGAAGAGUUCAAAGCAAACAUUUCAGAGUCCUCUUUAAUCAUCUUUUCUGGCAUCUGGAGAACAGUUCUUCCCUGAGAAGUGGUAAAGUUACAUUAAGAGGUUCUACAAGCAGCGAACCAAAGAAGCCUCACUUUCCUCCUAGGAUGUGAAUCCUACGGCUGACUUCAGGUCUUCUCCAGCUGCUUACCUAUCCUCAUGAUGCUCAUGAAGCGUCUCAACAGCAAACAGACAGGCUUCUUGAUUUUGGACAAGAGGUUCAGAGGCUACUAGGGGUACAUGCAUACACACAACACCCCACAGCAGCGGAGUGCAUGGCCCUGGUUACUAGAGGAAAUUAAGCUAAAAGGGAUGCUGAAGCUCCUCAGAACUGUCAUGGCUAACAUGCCAUCGGUGGCAUGUAGGGCACUUCAGCUAAAGGAAAACAUCCCUAAUAAUUAAUCUAGUGCGAGGUUCUGCUUCCCUCCAGCCCACUCAUUCAACUAGCCUGAGCCACAGAGCCAGCACUGGGUACAGAAUGGGCAUGGUCGCCAAGGCAAUUAUUUACUCACUGAAUGUCCCAACAGUAAACAAUGUGCACAUAAACAGGUACAUUUGCUUUAGAGUAAAAUCCCUUUGGAGUGAGCAAAACAGUGAGAGUGUGUCAUGAAGAAAGACAACACUUGGCAGAUCAGGUUGGGACAGGCUGUCAUGAGCAGCGAGGUGGGGUUGCAGAACCUGAACUGAAGGACACCACGUAAUGCUCCCACUAAUGGAGAGACUGGAGACUUCUGGAAGCUGCAACCGCCCCGAGCUGCCAGAGAUGCUGGAUGAAAGGGACAGCAGAGAAGAAGCAUUUUGAGGAAUCCCAGUUAGUGCUACAGAUCACUGAAGUAAAACACAAUAUUAUGGUGAAGAUCCUGGUGAGAAGGAUGGAAUAAAGAUAAAUUCUUGGGUAAUUGCAGGGGAUGGCUUGGCUUGAUUUGUUAGAAAAGAAGAUGGGAGGUUACAGUUAGUCUCCAUUUGUACAGCUGCUCUGCUGCUUUUUUGUUCAGCUGUACUCUCCCAACACUCUAUUAACAGGUGAAACUGCAGGCAAAUGCCUGUCGUCUUCCUACAUCACAUUCAAAUUCAUAAGCCAACCUGCAGCCAUAAAUGACUGGAGUGCCAGACAGGAAAAUUUUAUGUUUAUUUGAGUAGUCAUGCUUCACAGUCUCUGUAAUUUGGUAACUUCUGAUCUGAUGAAUGCAAACAUUAUAUACGGAAUUUGCAUGAAUAAAACCAACUUCUGUCAAUUAGUGAUCAUAAAACACUUUAAAGCAUACUUCCGUUGUGGUAAUGUACCUUUCCAAGUAUCUUAAUUACAAAAGGCACUAAUCAAAAUGAAAGCAAAUAUGAAAUACAUUUUUAAGACUGGCUGCAUUCUUCCCCAUUGUGCCGGCUUUUAUUACUUGCAUUAAAAGUUCUCUGUCUUAUUUUAACAAAUUGGAAUCUACCAUACAUAUGACAGCCAAUAUGCAGAAUAAAUUGUGACCAUGAUCCUUUGGUAACCAAAUCUAUGGCACUUCCCUGAAGUGAAGCACAGUCCACCCGAGGUACCAAAUUCAGCUCCUUCCUGCCAAAAACUUGCUGGGACUCUGCAUUAGUGGUAUAAUUAAAAAGUACAUAUAUCUUCGUUUGUUGGCAGCUCUUCUCCUCUGUGAGCUCUAAAACACCACACUUUGUGACAUUAAGUACAUUUUGGGUAUUAGGGUAAGAAAAACAGCAUAAAAUUUUGUAAAUCUACAGGCAAUUCAAGAACACAAAUGUUUCUAUUUUGGCCCAGUACCAGCAGCUAAUUCAUAUAUUCUUUAUCACUUGCUAAGGACUGCCUAGUAGCUGCAGAUGUGGAAGCAGACUGCUAAAAUCUGAAACAUAAGCAUUCAGAUUUCAUGACAAAAGUUUUCAGUUGUAUUCCCACUAUUCAGCUUCAGUAGCUACAUAGUUUUCUUGAACAUUUUUUAAUCUCUCCUACAGGCUUUGUACCUCUACAGAUCUCUGCUAUACUGAUAAUCUUCAGUACUAACCUAUAUUAAAGAGAUUGUCAGAGAAGACUGUAAAUGAAGUAAUUCUCUCUUCAAUUUCCAUCCUUUUCAAGCCAUAGAGAGCAAUCCCUGUGUUCAAGGAACUGAAAGAGAUUGGGUUUUCACAUCUUUGUUCACAUUUUUCUGGAAAGAGCAGGGAGGAAGUUUCAGCAGUUAAUAGUGUGGAUGUUAUUUUGUCUCCCAUGAAAAUAAAUUAAUUACAAUCCCACACAGUAUUUCUCUGCUACUACAUACCAUGAGAUCAAAUAAUAAUAAUUUCAUAAAUAAAUGGCAGUGCAGAUGCAAGCAAGGAAAAGAGCCCCUAUGCAAAGUAAAUGGAAACACAAUAUAAUAUCAUGUUUACUCUCUUUUCAGGCAGGAUGACCCUACAUUACAGUCAGGAUUAGAUUUAAUCAUACUGUGGCUUUAUACCUCGCAUUUGAUGUUGCUCCAGACACUGAAGUAGAAGUAAAAUUUGCUUAAUAUUUCGUAUUAAUUUCUAUAUUGUUAUACAUAAGUUAGCAAUAUGCAUCAGCACUGAAACCAUAAGUUAUACAUAAGUGAGUAUUAUGCAUGAGCACUGAAACCACAGCUAAUGAUGGCAUCUUUGCAAGUGUGCCUUUGAUAUAAAUGCAUGAACAGGUUCAGCAUCCAGCAAUACACUAAGGGAAAAAAGAAAUAUCUACUGAAUUGUUAGGUUCUGUGGAACAUUCAAGCUUUCAGGAACUACUAGACAGCACAAAAACACUUGACAGUCUGAAAGAGUAGAGAUGAGAGUUUUUGUUUUACAUGCCAGCAGUUACACCAGCAGUCAACCCUACAAAUAAUGCUGAAAAAAUCAAAUUCUUAAGUAUGUCACUGCAUUUCUAUAUAGUUUUAAAUGCUCUGCAGUUCCUAGAAAAUUGAAUGUUGCUUGAUAAUAGAGAACUUUCAACCCUUAAUUACAGAUCUGAUGCCCACAGAGCCAUAAUUUCUGAGUCAAGUUUCUUCUCCACACUAUCACAAAUAAAAAUAAAUGAUCAGCAGGUGAUUGUGUGAAGUUGUGAUGAUCAUAAAACACAUUCAUAUUUGUUGUAGACAUCUCAUGGUAUCAUAGGAGGCAAAUGUUUAUCCUUGUGGGUUGGGCAGCUCCGACAGAUUAAUUCACCCACUCUAAGUGAAAAACAAAGCUAACUGCAGCAAUUAAUGAUUGUUUUGUCAGCGAGUAGACAAAAUCAUCAUGCAACUUUUGUCAGGGAUUGGAAGCUAUCUUCUUUUGACAGACGUUACUUGAAUGCUUAUUUCAAAAAGCCUGAGCUGUCUUUCAAAGAGCUGAGGCAAGUGUUAAUCCUGCUGCUCCUUUGCACGCAAGAAUCAAAGAGUCCUUAGGCUUUUAAUCUGCUGAGUACAAUAAGUAAGUAAACUUUUUUUACUAGAAACUUUCCUAUCAAGAAGUUUUUCUAGAGACUACAGCAUUUCAGCAAUAAAAUCAUGUGCUUGAACUUCAGCUAUCAAUAUUCCUUUCAUGUAACAACAACAACAAUGACACUGCCAGUAUGAAGGACUGUUUUCUUCUAAAACAAAACUAAUCACACAUGUUUCCCUUGCAGGACUUAAACCAAAUGUGACAAUAAGCCAUUAUAUUUAGCUUUGAUAGAACUAUUCAUUCCUCCUCAAGACUUUUUUUUUUCCUUGAAGUUGGCUCUUCUUUUUGCUUUGGCUCAAGUCAUUAGAAAUAUCAGAAUCAAAGAUCUGCACAACAGAUGGAGCUGGGUUGUGAAGAAUGCCUUUGGCUGGUGAGGAUCUUUGCCUGGCAGGUGUCAAACCAAAAUUAAUACUGCACAUAUUAUAGCGAAGUGAGACUGCAUUCCUUCCUGACCACAAACAUGUAUUAAUAGAACAAGCCACGCAGAGCAAGCUAAAACAGUAUUAUCAUUCUGCUGAAUCCUCCACUGCUUGGCAUUUCAUUUAAUCACUUACAUCCAUGCAAAACAAAUAAACAAAGUGCAACAGGUUUGUUUAAUGUCUUUUUAAAGACAUUUUGCAUAGGUGUAAAACACUUCACAAAAUGCACUAAGCAACAUGGACGUAGACCCCUGCUGGUUUCUUUUUUCUUCCAUUUUUUGUAUCAGUGGUCUAACUGCUUAUGAACUUUAGUAGACUUUUUAACAUUUCAAAAUCCACAGGAAAAAAAAGGUAGUAGUAUUAAAAUACAAUGCUCAGCUACCAUCAGUUGCUAUGCCUGGCUUGCCAAAUGCAAUUCAGCAGCCUGAGUCAGAAGACAGAGCUUUCCACGAGCAUCAGGAAGGAGGGCUUGAGGUGGCAUCACCUCCUUCUCUCCAUUUUCAGAUGAAUGGGAGGCUUAGCAUCACAACCAGCCCUCUCAAGUGCCGAGUGAGUUGAAGAUACGCAAGAAACCAAUUUGGAAUCUCAUGGCUGGUUACACAGAUCCAUACUGUCCAACAGCAAUUUCAGCUCUCCAAUAGGGCUGUAAUUUUAGAAGGUCACAGCCACAAGACUUUUAGUUCUCUAUAAAGCAAAUGUGAGAAUGCGUGUGUGUGUGUGUGUACAUGCAUAUAUAUAUAUGUGUGUGUGUAUAUUUAUAUAUAUGUAUAUAUAUGUAUGUAGUAUGUAUGUAUGUAUUUAUACACAAAUUCCCCUAAUUUUUCAAAAUCUUAAUUAGAAUAUAUGAAAGUCUUUGAUGCAAGUCAAAUUCAUUCCUUUUUUAAAGUUUCAUUUCCACAAAUUCAGGUCAUGGAUCUGUCACUUGACCCUGGUAUGAAAAGGGUGAAAAUGGGAGCAUGGGUGAAGUAAUUUCCGAAACCGAGGUCCUAGCUCAGAGAGCGCUUUACGCCAGCAGGGACUGGAUGAGCACUUCUUUCCCCCCUCGAGUCAGCAGUGACAUAAUACCCUGCACCAUGUGCUCAGCUGCAGGGCUCGUGGCUGCCCUGUGACAUGGCUGGUGCCGGGUGACACAACACGCUGAUCCUCUGCAGUCAUUAGAGAUCCCAAGACAGCACGGAAAGUAAGGAGAUGACUCACAGCUGCAACCAUGCACUCGAGGGCUGAGGACCCAAUUACUUUUCUACUCACUCAGGAAUAGCAUUUUGCCAAAGGAACUGAACCUUAAUUUAAUUGUGCAACAUUUGCUUUAGAAACAUAUUUGAAGAUGUUUUAGCUAUGACCUCAUUUAUACACCAUCCCAGGCUUUCUAGGAACCCUGCAGCAUCAGCCUCCUAGCCUUUCUGGUAUGUGAACUACUGUCUUUUAUGGCUUCCACGCUGCACUGUCUGGGUGCUCCCCGUGUGACUGGGAGGGGAGAUGUUCUGCUAAACACAACACUUAGGGAGGGGAGUUCGCAGUCUCAGGUGUGGGUUGUGCAAGAGGCUAUGUAUGUGUUAGGUUAUGUACACAGAUUGCCAUGAUUAUGGUCAAAUAACUCCAAAGAGCUGGGCCUGCACAGGUGAAAAAGGAAGAGCACCAGAGGAGCCAACAACCCAGCAGCUCAUCUGUCCUGCAUUUCCUACUCAUGACCACAGCUUUGAAAGGUGCCCAUCUUCAGAUGCUGAUGGAGCCAUGCUUCAGCUCUGCAGUUUUAAUCAAAGACUUAAUUGACCAGGUCCCAGAAAAGUCAAUAGUAGAUUGUCCCAAAUAAUCUUGAGUAAGGAAGUGAGCAUACUGGAAUAUGGAAAUCCACUAAGGUAUUGAUAAAAAAGGGAGCAGACAACCAAAGGGGUCAGUUGCUAUUUGAGCUAGAAAGGCUGAGAUGUUAUGGAAAAUAGGUACAUAUCUGCACCUCACCUCUACUCUGCCAGCUGCUUCACAUGGAAUUUUAAGGCAUUGGGUUUAAUAUGGAAAAACAUACCUUUGAAUCAAAUUCUGAUGUCUGCAUUUACACAAAGUGAUCGGUUUUCCAGGACAGUUCACAAUGUAGACUCCUUUUGGCCUCUUAUUCUUAGCACUGACUUAGUCUAUUCCCACCUUCUGCCACCUUCUCAAUCUCUCUUCUCUUCCCUGCCUUAUGUUGCAAUUGCUAGAGGAUUCUGGAGCUGGGACACCAUGCUACCACCACGUCUGCCCACCACAGAAAGGCAGCUGGUCUGUUGCCCAACCCAUGCUGGGCAGGCAAGGAGCCCUCCUGCUGGAUAGGUAGACUUGUCUGUCAAAGGUAUGUUGCAAGUUUUUCCAUGACAAAAAUCCCCUCCUACUUUUAAAAAACACAUUUGUUUUUCUUCUUUUUCUCUUCUUUCUCCAACUUUUUCUCUUCUUCCCCCAUUUUUUGAGCCAGAAGGAGAGUGACACAGAGAAUAAUGCUUUCCUCAGCUUCUGCUGGAAAAAAACCCACAAAAAUUUUCCACCAAGAGUGAGCUUUUUCUGGUUUGUUUUGUUUGGUUGUUUCUUUGUUUUGUUUUGUUUUGGCCCAGUAGGGUUCAGAAGCCAUAUUUUAAAUUUAAAAUUUCCCAAAUAAGGGUCCAGUUAAUACUGUCAUUUUGUGUGGAAGGUAGCAGAGACCUGAUACCUCUGUUCCACUUAGCACAGAUUCCAGCUGUGUGGCAAAGAGGUCAGCUUGAUUUUUUCUCUUGGGCUGAAUCUUUUCAAACAUCUUUUCAGGGUUUCAGUUGUAUAAAUCAAACCCCAUAUCCCAGCGUAGAUGCACAGCUUGUCAGGCUUUCCUUCUGCCAGUUGGCUCUGCACUUCCCAGUGUUAAUUCCCAAAGCCUCCACAUGUUCGAGAAGGAGGGAGGAAAGCACUGGUGAGCAAGGAGGGGACCAGAGCAGUCAAAAGCUGCAGAGGCUUCCCAUGCAUGGAGAGAGCAUCACAGAUGGGUGCAGCUGGUAGUGGAGAAGAAAAAGGUGCUGAGGCCACUGAUUUUCCAAUGGCAUUGAUGGGCAGGGCUCUGAGCAGGUUUGGGCCCCUUCAGUCUCUGACAAGAAGAGAGUGUGUGUACAUACCACACACUGUCUUGGUGUCAACUCAGGAGUCAGCCUUGUUUCACGUGUGCUUUGUCUGAGCAGAUGGCAAAGCAUGACGGCUGCUGGGUUAAGAUUUUGCUGCCAAACCAACCCCCAGCUGUUUUCAGACUGCUGCUCGCUUUACCAAUGCAAAAAUAGCCAUCUCCCUAAUUUCCUCCUUCAAAGUAUUAUUUUUGAUAUUACAAGAGCAUAUACCUAGCCGGACUAUAUAACUGACAUGACACAAUUUUAAAUUAUCUACCUACAACCAUCUUCCUGCUCUAACUAUGGUGGUGGUAGUGUUGAAGGGUUGUUUUGCUGGGGGCUUUUUGAGACUACCAUGAAAAUUUGCAUUCCCAGGUAGAAACUCACUCAGUACAGAGCCUGCACUACCAGGCGUAGAAGGCAACCCAUCACUCUAGCUGUACCACAUCACCCCUAAAAAACUUUUGACACAGAAACUAGCCCAAAUCUCAUAUGCAACAGCAAGUACAUAAGGCAAGACUGUUACAGAAAAGACAGUGACAGAAACACACACUUAUUUAGUUUAUUCCUUUAUCAGCUGGGGUUUCUUCAUAUAUUUUUGUCCAGGAAUGUCCUAUAAGGCUAGGUUGUUAAAUGGCUGGGACCCUUCCAGCAGAGUCUCCAAGGGCAGCAUAGAUUCCUUUGGGUAUCCUUCCUACUGACAGCACAGCAGGGCUCACUAGCACAGCAAGAUGUAACUCCAUGCCACCCUGACCCAGCAGCAGGGUGUUGGCCUCCUGAAACUCAACAACUAUCUACACAACAUGAAACAAGUGGAAAUCCAAUCUUGUGACCUCAUUGGCACAGGUUCCAGACAAACCAACACAAACACAGCUCUUGGAAACGUGAUGAGUUCUGGGGAUAAACAACCAGCAUUCUCUUUCCUCCAUACCUCUGCGUUUGCUUGCUCCUAGAAAUAGCGGAAGGAACACCCCAACUGCGUGGAUACACAUGCACUUCUCAGCAGACCAACAGCAAAUGUUGAUCCAGCAACUGGAGCUGGAACACAGCAACCCUACACCAGCAAUAAAGCGCCACUGGGUCAGAUGUUAUGGUGUCAGCCCAAAUUAAGCAUCACGAAGCAUGCAUCGGCCAAGCCAGCAGUCCUUCUUUGCUUCAGUGAGCCUUGAGCUGUGCUGUGUGGAAUUGCUGCUUUCCAUACAGAAUAUCUCAUUCAAAGCAGGGGCUGUCACAGCAACUGCAAUAGCACCACUGAUUUUUGAGUGAUAAGCUGCAUUUAGAGUGGGAAAGUAUUGCUCUGUGAGCUGAAAAGCAUACCAAACAACGAGCGAUAAAGUCAUGAGCUUCAGGUUUUAAUAUCUGUCAGUCCCAUUUCCCAAAGCAAAGGGUAGUUUAUGUACACUGUAGACAUUUUCUGUCUGAAGCAAUACUAACACGUAAUGUCUUCAUUUAUACAGCACAUGAAGUGUCCUGCACCCCCACCCACACAAUGGUCUGAUUCUAGAUCCGCCCUACUGUUGUUCGUGGGAGGAAAUCUAGGUGUGUUGCAGAACAAAACCAAGGGGUACUGAUAUUCUGCAACAUCAGACAACGUAAUUCCUUCCUCACAAGACUCCAAGGUCCUCCUAGACCAAUUUUAAAAAAGGAGAGGGCAGGGAGAGGAGGGAAUGGUAGACAGAUCUAUGGUGGAACUAAAAACUCAGGAUUUCUGGAGCCUUUGUCAUAUGCUGUAAUUGCAAAAUCAUGCCUCCUGUCUUCCAUAUAAACAGCAAAUCUUUUUUCUCAGGGUAUGAGAUGAUUAGGAAAUUCCCUAUGCUCACCUUAAUUUGGUUUCUUCCCUCACUUGGAAAUGUGAUUUCAAAAAAGAUCAGGCCAUUAAGUGUAGUCUAGACUAUUGUUUCCAAAUACUUCUUUCAGCAUGGAAAGGACCAACCAUGGAAUAACCAAGCAAAUCACCCUAUUAUGCAACAGGCAAGAAAACUAUUUGUGCUGCUAUACUAUGUUUUUAAUUCCUCUGAAGGCUGCUUUCCCCCAGGGAAUUCCAGUAAUCUGACUGAUUGAAGUGUGUUUUGACAAGUUGUAACAGUCCAGAAAACCCACCUACGAAAUUACAUCCUGGUAGCAUCUUCCAAAGUAAACUGAAAUCUUGGUAUCACAGCUCAUUUUGGAAAGUUCUGUGCCAUAGCUUUCAUUUGUUAUGAGAACAUAGCUUGAGUUUUAGGUGUGGAUAACAGGUGGUGUUACACCUAUUGAUGUACAGCAAGAUGUAAUCUUCCCCUGUACCAGGUUUUUGUACCAGCAGGGGCCCCAUGGAUCAUCUCCUGAAACUGACCUGAAUAAAACCAUACAGUCCUAAUACAUUUUUAUUUCAUCUACUUUCUUUCACUUUAGGUGAACACACUGCAAAGUCAUCAGCUCACCCUGAGGGUUGUUUGUCCACCCCCAACAAAGCAAAUCAGAACAAGCUGCCAGCAUAGAUGUCAGCCUGUUGGAAAGACAGGAAUACUAGCAGAGUCUAAGGACCAGGCAAUGUUAUGCUGAGAAAGUCUUUUACUACUCCCACCAGCAGUGCCUGCAGGCUUUAGUCAUGUGCCACAUGCCAGACACACCACAUGGCUCCCAUCACGUAGGUUUUCUGCCACUACUCCACAAGCCUACCAAUCUCAUACUGUCUUCUGCUUGCCACUGUCAUGGAGAGAAAAUAUUUGACUGGGUAUGAAGCUCUUAUAUAUAAAGAAUUUAGGAUUUAGAGUGUAGAAAUUUUAAAAUGCUAGAAGGGAAAACAUUUUGGAAAGUGAGUCCCAGUAAGUAUGGAUGGACCAAGCCCAUUCCGUCCCUGGGCUCAGCUCCAGCCCAGUUGAGUUAGAACAUCCUGGAGGUAUCUACUAGGAAGACAAAGGAGACAGAGGCACUGAAAAGCUAGGAAGUCUCAGACUAACAUAUUUCAUUUUUCCAUAUUUUUCUUCCUGAAUAUCCCAAAACAGAAAGCAGACAGAUUUUUUGCAGAAGUUACUAGGAUUUAUUAAAGACAGGAUAUUGAUAUGAAACAUUCAUGACCCUCAACUUAGCAGUAUUUCUCUUGGAUAGGGUAACGAAGUAAAUUUAUUACACAUCAGUGCCAAGAAGCUCAUAAUAAAAAUACAGAUUAUAGUUCUCAGAUUCAUCAACUCAAACCAGAUAUUGUUGAAAAAACAGUCCAGCAGGAAGAAUGUCUCAUAAGAUGCUUGCACUACCAAAGCAACAUAUGAAAUACAUAUUUUAUCCAACAAUAGGAUACAAAGCAAACUAUUUGAUUUAAUGACCCUGACACAAAGGCAGCCUGUGAAGACAUGAGGAGACCCCUUGUCAUGUUAUCCCAGGUGUGGAGUGUGGGGAGGAAGAUGAUAGAUAUGUUAGACAUGGGCAAAGCAAGCAGAGAUUUUAUAGUAUCCUGAGUUGAUGAAAUUAUGAGACAUGAAAUAAAUUAAUAAAGUAUGGAUAAAGCAAGAUAGAGAAAUAACACAACUUCUCGGGAAGCCAGGCUUCAGCAAAGGUUCAGGCAGAUCAAAGCCACAGAAAAUCUUCACAUCAGUUCACCCAUAUCAUUUAGUCCCCUCACCUCUUCCAUUCCUGACCUUCAUUGCUUCUUUACUGGAACAUACCUAGUGAAGAAUCAGUAAUCAAGGGCUAAUUUAUUAAAUGCCUGAUAGUGAGAUCUAAAUAUUUCAUUCUGCUUUUGCUGCAUUCCCUACAAAAGUGAAGAUAUCUCUUCAAAAUGGUCCCAGAGCUUGCCUGUAUGGCAUCUGCACGGUCUGUAUGGCUGCAGGAACACCUAACACAUCAGCCUGCUGUGAAAGGAGGAACUCAUAUGUCCUUAGGUACGAUUGAAAGCAUUGUCACUGCUGAAAGUUUCCAUAAAUCACAGUAUAACAGACCAACCCUUUAACAACUCGUCUCUUCUCAUUUCCAGACAUACUACCAAGGGGAAAAAUUUACUCUGCCGAGGAUUUCCAGUGUUUCCAAUUCCUCACUUCUUCCAUCUCAUCCUCAGGAAAAACAAAGCAAAGCCAAAAAAUCACAACCCUCCUCCAAAUUCCCAAAACAAAGAAAAAUUAAACAAACAAAACAAGUAAGCACCACAGGGUUUUCUAACUGCCUUCCAAAAUACAACAAACAAAAAAAGCAUUUUAAAUUGCUUAGUUUGGGCAAGUUAUUAACCAUGAGAUCUCUAGUGCGUGUCUGUGUUUAAUAGAGAAUGUAAUGGAAAAAUAGAACUUUAGUGACCAUCCAAGAAAGAUUUCAUGAAAAACAGGGUGGAAAGGAGUUUGUUUGGAUUUAAUGUUUCCCCAGAAGCAUCUCUAGUCCAAACAUUACACCACAGGUCAAAUGGAGGGGAGCCAGAAAGUGAAACACUUUAAAAAUAACCCCUAAAAAGGAAAGUGAAAGUGGCCAAUCUAGUUAGAAUCAUCGAAUGGUUUGGGUUGGAAGGGACCAUAAAGACGAUAUAGUUCCAACCCCCCUGCCAUGGACAGGGACACCUUUCAGUACAUCAGGUCGCUCAAAGCCCCAUCUAAUCUGGCCUUGAACACUUCCAAGAAUGAGGAAUCCCCAACACCUCUGGGCAACCUGUUCCAUUGCCUCAUCACUCUUACUAAGAAUUUCUCCCUAAUAUUUAAUCUAAACCUACCCUCUUUCAAUUUGAAGCCUUGUUCUGUCACAACAUGUCCUUGUAAAAGGUCUCCCUCCAAGUUCCACCUUUUGUGACCAUAAAAUAUAAAUUCUAUGAUAAAAACCAAAUUUGGGCUCUGGCACCAUCACUGAACAUCAGUAAAUACUGCAACCUACACAUGGGAAGUCAAACAGAAAAACACAUGUGCAGCUUGUAAAAUUCUUCCUGCCUGGUACUACUGCUUUUAAGUAAGCUUACAUUAAAAUACUUCAGUUUGGAACUGAAAAACUGUCCUCACCCCUCCAUUGUAGCCCUUUCAAGAUGCCUCCUUGCAGACAGAGAAGCUCAACAAAGCUCUCACACAAGACCACCUGCCAGCAACAUCCGAAAAAACUGUAUGGGGUAGAUGCCUUGGGAAUAUUUAUAGCAAUAAAGUUCAUCUUGCCAGUCUG